UGCCAUUCAACAUUGCAUCUUAUGCCCUCUUGACAUGCAUGAUUGCUCAUGUUUGUAAUCUUGUUCCGGGUGAUUUUGUUCAUGUGUUUGGGGAUGCUCAUGUUUAUUGUACUCAUGUUAGGCCUCUCCAGGAGCAGCUUCAAAAACUGCCAAAGCCUUUUCCAAUUUUGAAGAUUAAUCCUGAGAAGAAGAACAUAGAUUCUUUUGUGGCAGCUGAUUUCAAAUUAAUAGGUUAUGAUCCUCACAACAAAAUUGACAUGAAAAUGGCUGUAUAAAGUUCCUUCAAAGAUUCAGUGAACUCACGCUCUGGUUUGUCCUAGGCAUUACUUGCUUGUGGUUUUGAGGCAGGCACAACUAUUGAAGGCUUACCUUGCUUGAGUGAUAGUAAACUAAAAAUUUGCUUGUUGAAUGUAUUCUUAUUUAGUGAGAAUCCUUUAGUUCCAAAGAGUUGAUGGUUCUAAGGUGAUUUAGGAUGUCUACAUUUUCUUGCUCUACGAGCUUAAGUUUUCCUUUAUUACUUGGGAAAUAUCACUUUAUUACCA
rnacentral:misc_RNA from 1 species